UACGUAGGGUGCAAGCGUUAAUCGGAAUUACUGGGCGUAAAGCGUGCGCAGGCGGUUAUAUAAGACAGAUGUGAAAUCCCCGGGCUCAACCUGGGAACUGCAUUUGUGACUGUAUAGCUAGAGUACGGCAGAGGGGGAUGGAAUUCCGCGUGUAGCAGUGAGAUGCGUAGAUAUGCGGAGGAACACCGAUGGCGAAGGCAAUCCCCUGGGCCUGUACUGACGCUCAUGCACGAAAGCGUGGGGGGCAAACAGG
rnacentral:rRNA from 1 species